rnacentral:rRNA from 1 species
AUUGAACGCUGGCGGCAGGCUUAACACAUGCAAGUCGAGCGAGCGGCGGACGGGUGAGUAAUGUCUGGGAAACUGCCUGAUGGAGGGGGAUAACUACAGGAAACGGUAGAUAAUACCGCAUACCAUCAGAUGUGCCCAGAUGGGAUUAGCGAGUGGGUGGGGUAAUGGCUCACCUAGGCGACGAGCCCUAGCUGGUCUGAGAGGAUGACCAGCCACACUGGAACUGAGCCACUUCCCAUACUCCGACGGGAGGCAGCAGUGGGGAAUAUUGCACAAUGGGCGCAAGCCUGAUACAGCCAUGCCGCGUGUGUGAAGAAGGCCUUCGGGUUGUAAAGCACUUUCAGCGAGGAGGCGUUACUCGCAGAAGAAGCACCGGCUAACUCCGUGCCAGCAGCCGCGGUAAUUC